UUGCUCACUUUAGCAGCACAUGUACUAAAACUGAAACAGUAGAGAAGAUUAGCACAGUCCCUCAGCAAGGAUGACACGUAAAUUUGUGAAACAUUCCAUAUAUAU
ensembl:snRNA U6 U6 spliceosomal RNA